AGAAACAAAAAGUAGCUUAAAUUAAGCACUCGACCUACACUCGAACGAUAUUAAAUUAAAUCCUUUUGA
rnacentral:tRNA from 1 species